rnacentral:rRNA from 2 species
GUGAGUCAUCGAAUCUUUGAACGCACCUUGCGCUCCUUGGUAUUCCUUGGAGCAUGCCUGUUUGAGUAUCAUGAAAUUCUCAAAACAAGUCUUUCGUUCAUUCGGCUGACUUUGUUUUGGACUUGGAGGUCUUGCAGAUUCACGUCUGCUCCUCUCAAAAGCAAUUAGCUGGAUCUCGGAGCUCGGUUCCACUCGGCGUGAUAAAUAUCACUCGCUGAGGACACCCACCCAGGUGGCCGGGUUUGCGGAUUGAGCCGCUUCUAAUCGUCCAUUUGCUUGGACAACAACACUUUAUGAUCUGAUCUCAAAUCAGGUAGGACUACCCGCUGAACUUAAGCAUAUCAAUAAGCGGAGG